GACGAACGCUGGCGGCGUGCUUAACACAUGCAAGUCGAACGAUGAAGCGCCUUCCUUUUUGGUGGGUGUGGAUGAGUGGCGAACGGGUGAGUAACACGUGAGUAACCUGCCCCCUUCUUCUGGAUAACCGCAUGAAAGUGUGGCUAAUACGGGAUAUUCUGGGUCUGUCGCAUGAUGGGUCUGGGAAAGAUAUUGUUUCGGUGGGGGAUGGGCUCGCGGCCUAUCAGCUUGUUGGUGGGGUGAUGGCCUACCAAGGCGGUGACGGGUAGCCGGCCUGAGAGGGUGGACGGUCACACUGGGACUGAGACACGGCCCAGACUCCUACGGGAGGCAGCAGUGGGGAAUAUUGCACAAUGGGCGCAAGCCUGAUGCAGCGACGCCGCGUGAGGGAUGGAGGCCUUCGGGUUGUGAACCUCUUUCGCCAGUGAAGCAGGCCUGCCUCGUUUGUGGGUGGGUUGACGGUAGCUGGAUAAGAAGCGCCGGCUAACUACGUG
rnacentral:rRNA from 1 species